UUGACUGUUGCCAAUGAUGGAUUGUUUUAAGCUGAAACAGAAUGAUUUUAUCCUAACAUUUCGUCACUACCACUGAGGCAACGUUUUU